rnacentral:rRNA from 1 species
UACGUAGGGGGCGAGCGUUGUCCGGAUUCAUUGGGCGUAAAGCGCGCGCAGGCGGUUGGGAGAGCCUGGCGUGAAAGCCCCCAGCUCAACUGGGGGAGGCCGUCGGGGACCUUCCGACUGGAGGCCGGUAGGGGCGAGCGGAAUUCCCGGUGUAGUGGUGGAAUGCGUAGAUAUCGGGAGGAACACCAGUGGCGAAGGCGGCUCGCUGGACCGGUCCUGACGCUCAGGCGCGAAAGCGUGGGGAGCGAUCCGG